CGUCAUCCUACAACUUAAACCAUGACAACUAUUCAAUCAAACUGGCCACCAGGAUGGAGCUGGAACCCCUCUCCAGGGAUAUGGCUGUUCCUAUGGUAACUGUGUAGGUGUAAGGCCUGACAGCGAGCAGGAGAAUGUUGAAGAAACCCUGCCAGACCACUUCUGCCUGCUACCUCCAU